CCUACGGGAGGCAGCAGUAGGGAAUCUUCCACAAUGGACGAAAGUCUGAUGGAGCAACGCCGCGUGAGUGAUGAAGGUUUUCGGAUCGUAAAACUCUGUUGUAAGGGAAGAACAAGUACGUUAGGAAAUGAACGUACCUUGACGGUACCUUAUUAGAAAGCCACGGCUAACUACGUGCCAGCAGCCGCGGUAAUACGUAGGUGGCAAGCGUUGUCCGGAUUUAUUGGGCGUAAAGCGCGCGCAGGCGGUUUCUUAAGUCUGAUGUGAAAGCCCACGGCUUAAUCCGUGGAGGGUCAUUGGAAACUGGGAGACUUGAGUGCAGAAGAGGAAAGUGGAAUUCCAAGUGUAGCGGUGAAAUGCGUAGAGAUUUGGAGGAACACCAGUGGGGAAGGCGACUUUUCUGGUCUGCAACUGACGCUGAGGCGCGAAAGCAUGGGGAGCAAACAGGAUUAGAUACCCUGGGUAGUACCAUGCCGUAAACGAUGAGUGCUAAGUGUUAGGGGGGUUUCCGCCCUUUAGUGCUGCAGCUAACGCAUUAAGCACUCCGCCUGGGGAGUACGACCGCAAGGUUGAAACUCAAAGGAAUUGACGGGGGCCCGCACAAGCGGUGGAGCAUGUGGUUUAAUUCGAAGCAACGCGAAGAACCUUAC
rnacentral:rRNA from 2 species